rnacentral:rRNA from 1 species
UACGGGGGGGGCAAGCGUUGUUCGGAAUUACUGGGCGUAAAGGGCUCGUAGGCGGCCAACUAAGUCCGACGUGAAAUCCCAAGGCUUAACCUUGGAACUGCGUCGGAUACUGGAUGGCUUGAAUUCGGGAGAGGGAUGCAGAAUUCCAGGUGUAGCGGUGAAAUGCGUAGAUAUCUGGAGGAAUACCGGUGGCGAAGGCGACUACCUGGCCCAUUCUUGACGCUGAGGCGCGAAAGCUAGGGGAGCGAACGGG